rnacentral:lncRNA from 10 species
GCAAAGGGUGGGAGGGGGUGAGGGAUAAAAGACUACACAUUGGGUACAGUUUACACUGCUCGGGUGAUAGGUGUACUAAAAUCUCAGAAAUCACCACUAAAGAACUUAUCCAUAUAAUCGAACACCACCUGUUCUCUCAAAACCUAUAGAAAUAAAAAAUAAAUAAAAGAUAAAUUCACUACCUGUAAGGGCUAAAUUCUGGCUUUAAAUUUAAUAAUAAAAUUUUACAUAUGUAUAAAAUGCAUUCUCUUAGCUAGCCAUUUUGCAGACACCUUCUCAUUGUAUCCUCAUAACAACCUAUAAGGUAGUCUUGUACUCUUUCUCUCUCUCUCCUUCCCUUCCUUCCCCUUCACUGUGGAAAAAAUAAAAAUAAAAAUAAAAAACCAAAAAACAAAAAACCCAAACAUAUAACAUAAAAUUUAGCAUUUUAACUUUUUUUAAGUGUACAAUUCAGGGACAUUAAGUACAUUCAUGAUGUUGUGCAACCAAUCCCACCAAUAUCCAUUUCUAGAUCUUUUUCAUCAUCCCAAACUGAAACUCUACACCCAUUAAACAAUAGCCUCCUAUUUCUUUCUCCCUGAAACUCCUGGUCACUUUUAUUCUACUUUCUAUCUCUAUGAAUUUACCUAUUCUAGGUGCCUCAUGUAAGUGAGAUCAUACAAUGUUUGUCCUUUUGUGUCUGGCUUAUUUCACUUAGCAUAAUCUUUGUGACAUUUAAUAGAGUAUGCCAGGAUUUCAUUACUUUUUAAUGCUGAAUAAUAUUCUACUGUAUUGAUAUAUCACUUUUUAAAAUUAAUUCAUCUGUUGAAGGACACUGGGGCUGUUUUUACCUUUGGGUUAUGAUAGUGCUGCUAAGAACAUUGGUGUACAAACACAGAUGCUCCUUGAUUUACGAUGGGAUUUCAACCCACCGUAAGUUCAAAAUAUCAUAAGUCAAAACUGCAUUUAAUACAUGUAGCUUAUAGCACAUCAUGGCUUAGCCUCACCUUCCUUAAAUGUGUUCAGAACACUUAUAUUAGCCUAUAGUUGACAAAAAUCAUCUAACACAAAGCCUGUUGUAUAAUAAAGUGUUGAAUAUCUCAUGUGAUUUAUUGAAUACUGUACUGAAAGAGAAAAAAUCCACAGUAGCAGCUAGAGCAGGUGGUGGGCCCAAACAGGUUUGAAAUGGUUCAAGAGAAAUGUCUGACAUAGUCAGUCUCUGGUACCACCCAGAUAUCUUCAUAUUUCAAUGAAAGAUGAAAUGUGUACAGUUUCCAUAUGUGUAUGGAAGAUUGUGUAGAAGAAUGGUUGUAUGGAUACUUGAAGGAUGGUUUCUACUGAAUGUGUACCACUUUUGCACCAUGGUAAAGUUAAACCAUCAUCAGUGUCUAUAUCUGUUUGAGUUUCUGCUUUCAAAUUCUUUGAGUAUAUACCUAAGAGUAGAAUUUCUGGAUCAUAUGAUAAUUCCAUGUUUAACUUUUUGAGGAAUCGCCAUACUGUUUUCCAUAAUAGCUACCUCAUUUUACGUUCCCCCCAGCAAUACAUCAGGGUUUUAAUUUCUCCAAACUCUCACCAGCACAUAUUAUUUUCCAUUAAAAAAAAGUAGUAGCCAUUCUAAUGGGUGGGAAGUGGUAUCUCACUGUAGUUAUGAAUUGCAUUUCCCUGAUGUAUGUUUCUUUUUUCAUGGAGGAGGAGACUAAGUCACA